rnacentral:rRNA from 1 species
CGUAGACUGGUCUGAGAGGAUGAUCAGUCACACUGGAACUGAGACACGGUCCAGACUCCUACGGGAGGCAGCAGUGGGGAAUAUUGCGACAAUGGGCGCAAAGCCUGAUGCCAGCCAUGCCCGCGUGUAGUGAAGAAGGCCUUCGGGAUUGUAAAGUACUUUCAGCGGGGAGGAAGGUGUUGAGGUUAAUAACCUCAGUAAAUUGACGUUACCGACAGAAGAAGCACCGGCUAACUCUGUGCCAGCAGCCGCGGUAAUACAGAGGGUGCAAGCGUUAAUCGGAAUUACUGGGCGUAAAGCGCGCGCUAGGCUGGUUUGUUAAGUCGGAUGUGAAAUCCCCGGGCUCAACCUGGGAACUGCAUUCGAAACUGGCGGGCUAGAGUCUUGUAGAGGGGGGUGGAAUUUCCAUGUGUAGCGGUGAAAUGCGUAGAUAUCUGGAAGGAAUACCGGUGGCGAAGGCGAGCCCCCUGGACAUGAGACUGACAGCCUUGCAGGUGCGAAAGCGUGGGGAGCAAACACGGUAUUAGAUACCCUGGUAGUCCACGCCGUAAACGAUGUCAACUAUGGCAGGUUGGUGGCCUUGAGGUGUUAGUGCCGGAGCUAACGCGUUAAGUUGACCGCCUGGGGAGUACGGCCGCAAGGUUAAAACUCAAAUGAAUUGACGGGGGCCCGCACAAGCGGUGGAGCAUGUGGUUUAAUUCGAUGCAACGCGAAGAACCUUACCUACUCUUGACAUCCAAAGAACUUUCCAGAGAUGGAUUGGUGCCUUCGGGAACUCUGAGACAGGUGCUGCAUGGCUGUCGUCAGCUCGUGUCGUGAAAUGUUGGGUUAAGUCCCGCAACGAGCGCAACCCUUGUCCUUUGUUACCAGCGCGUUAUGCUGGGACACUCCUAAGAGAAAUUGCCGGGGACAAAUGGAAGGAAGGGGGGGAGAACGUCAAGUCUUCUGGGCCGUGGGAGUAUGGAUACACACGUGCUUACAUGGCUCAGACCAAGAGAAUGCACAUCGCCAGAGCGAACCUACCUCCUUAAGAGCGAUCUAAUUCCGAAUCGAAUCUUGCACUUCA